GCGGUUGUGGCUCAGUGGUAGAGUGCUUGCUUAGCAUUCAUGAGGUACUGGGUUCGAUCCUCAGCACCACA
rnacentral:tRNA from 1 species